ACCUUGAAGCUGCUUCUCUACCUCUGUAACAGACGAAGGGCAACGAAAUCGCAACGUAUAUCCAUUAUAGAAAACGAAAUCCAAUUGCUCGAAGUUGGCCGAUCUGCCGCCGACCACUGCCAACACUGACGCAUCAGCUCGUAAACCUUGGGCGGGCAACCGGGAGGACACUCCAUUCGAUAGCCCUUUUCAAGCAUGUGAUAAACGUCCGUCAGGUCGACACCGGGAUACGGCGACAUACCGUAAUCCAGCAGGUUGCCCUUGCUCAUGAACUCCGUGAUGAUGUAGAAGGGCGGCUCCCGGGUACAAACGCCUAGCAGCUGCACCAAGUU